AAUAAAAAAAUGUUUAAAACUGAAACAAACCCAUAUCAAAAACCAAACCUUAAUUAACACUCCAUUCAAAGCAUCAAUGAGCCAAAAAAACAACAAAUUGAUAGCAAAUAAUCACAGGGUGAAAAGAAAACCCAAGUGCCCAAACUCUUUACCCCAUAAAAAAGUAACCAUUUUUAGCAAUAGUCAAUAGAGAGAGAGAGAGAGAGAGAGAGAGAGAGAACACACCAAUCACAUUAAAAUUGUUAAAAAUUGAAAGAAACCCAUCUCAAAACCAAGCCUUAAGCACUCCAUCCAAAGCAUCAAUGGAGCAACAAAACAACAAAUUGGUAACAAAUAACACAAAAUCACACAGUAAAUCCCAGAACCCAAGUCCCCAAACACUUCACACCCCCCUCCAAAAAAAAACCUUUUUUCUUAGCAAUUUAGAGAGAGAGAGAGAGAGAGAGAGAGGGAGGGGGCACAUCAAUCAAAUAAAAAAUGUUAAAAGUUGAAGCAAAUACAUCUCAAAACCAAAACCAUACCACUCCAUCCAAAGCAUCAAUAAAGCAACAAAACAACAAAUUGAUUGCAAAUAACACAAAAUCACACACUAAAUCCCAGAACCCAAGUCCCCAAACACACACAAAAAAAACCCUUUUUUUUAGCAAUUUAGAGAGAGAGAGAGAGAGAGAGAGAGAGAGAACUCACAGCCAUUAAAUCACUAGUCCCAAAACUCCCAAACUCCCCCAACAACAAGAAGAAGAAGCAGAACAAGAACCCAGUGCUCAAAAACGGCUAAAGGUGCCUCCUUUCUCCUCCCCACACGCUUCUCCCUUUUCCAUAUAUAUAUAUAUAUAUAUAUAUAUAUAGAGAGAGAGAGAGAGAGAGAGAGAGAGAGAGAGAGGAGUCAUGGAUUCAACAGGUUUGAAGCAUUCUACGGAGUAGCGUAGCAGUGGGAAUGAAGAGAACAUAAUAAUAAUAAUAAUAAUAAUAAUAUUAUUAUUAUUAUUAUUAGCGUACGUUUCGCGCUCUCGAGGCGUGUAGAUUAUAUUUCAAUAAAUUUAAAUAUUUAAAUUUAUAUAAAUUUUAAUAAAUGUGUUAUUUAAUUAAUUAAAAAUUAUAAAAAAAUUAGUUAAAAAAUAAUUUUGAGUUGUUUAUUUUCAAGUGUUUAAUCGGUGAGGGAAUCUUUAUAUAUUUUUUUACCAAAUUUUUUAUAAUAAAAAUAUACAGAGGAUCUUAAAUUUAUUAAAUUCAUUAGUAAGUUCAAAACUGAUAAUUUUAAUUAUUUUUAAUUAUUUUAAUUUAACUAAGUAUAAAAGUUAAAAUAAAUUGUAGUCCAGGGUUAUGUAUAUACUUUUACCUACAUUAAAGAAAAGAACACUAUUUGGUGCACCAGGUGUAUAAAUAAAUUUUGUGCACUUUAUUUUUAAAACUUGAUAUAAAGUUUAAAUCCUGAUAAUUUUUUAUAUAGAUGCUUCUUAUAUAGUAUAAAUCGCAUUUAUGAAAAUAUAUUUUAAUUUUAUAAUAUUAAUUAUUUAAAAUUAGGGUUUGUGCAUAUAAUAUUUAUGAAUAAGGUGAAUGCAAUUUGUUUAUAGAUGAGGAAUUGGUUGGGAGCAGAAUUAUUUCGUGCUCCGGGUGUAUAUUAUAUCUUAAACACCAUAUUAAUAAAUCACUAUUUUUGAAAUUUAAACUCUAAUAUUUUGUACAUAAACUGAUUAUCUCUUUUAUAUAGUGUAGAUUAUAUCUAUCAAAUUAUAUUUUAAUUUUAAAUUAAGAAAAAAAAUUUAGUGCAUGCUACAUUAUUGAAGACCAGGUGCAUGCAAUAUUUUUGAAGUGAAUAUGGACUAUUUUUGAAAUUUAAACUCCAAUAUUUUGUACAUAGACUGAUUAUCUCUCUUAUAUAGUGUAGAUUAUAUCUGUCAAAUUAUAUUUUAAUUUUAAAUUUAAAAAAAAAUUCGGUGCAUGCUAUAUUAUUGAAGACCAGGCGCAUGCAAUUUUUUUGAAGUGAAUAUCGAAGAAUGAGUAAGUAAAAUUGCAUGGAGACCCCUUGUGAGUAUUCCGUUUUGAAAUGGACUCUCAUCUUUUAUUGUUUUAAUUAAGAAUCCUCAACUUUUAUAUUUAUAUAGCUUGCUUGAUUUGGGGUUUUUAUAUAAAAUUCCAUUAGGUACUAAAAAAAAUUAAAUUGAUUAAAUUUGAUAAAAUUAGUAACGAAUUUGAGAAAAUCCUUGUUUUCUUUUGGCUAAAAUUGAUUAAUUCUAAAAAAUUAGAAGUUGGAGGAUCUCAAACGAAAAAAUAAAAGAUUAAGAGUCUAUUUCAAAACGUGUUGUAGGUGAGGGGGUAUUACACAUUUUUGCCUUUUUUUCUUUUUUAACUGAGACCCAAAUGGAUUGGAAACAAAUUUUUCUAAGUUUAAUAGUUUAAAUUACUCUCUAGUAAAUAAAACUAAAUUAAUCAACCGCUAAAAGCUUAUUAGAACGUAAAAUUUAGUAAAAUUUUAACUUAAUUAAGCCUAAAAUUUUAAAUAAAAAAUUAGAUCGGGACGGAGACGGAGACGGAGAUGAGGAUGGGGCCCGCGAGUUCGUAGAAAAUCAGUCUCAGCGAAAUUCUCACGAACGUGAAAAAAUUUUUUCUCCCUCUCCGUCCCCACGGGGAUUCCCACUAAUUUUUUAAAAAUAUACUAAAAUUUUAAUUAAAAAAUUAACAAAUUCAAUUUAAUUUAAAUUUAAAUUUAAUUUAAAUUUUAGUCAAUUGUUAUGUUUAUUUUUCUCUAUGUCGAACUAUUAAGUAUGAUUCUCAAAUUCCCAAAAAUGUAUAGGAACCUAAUAUUAUUUAACUAAUGUAUUGUAUAAAAAAUAAUAUAAUUAAUAUAUUUAACUAACAUAUCUCUUUAAUUUACUCAAGAUGUAUAUAGUAUUUUGUAUAUAAAGACGAUGAGUGAGUGUGUUUAGAGUAGUUCCGAAAUAAGAUGAAUCGCUUCAUAAAUAAAAUAUAUUGUUCGACAUAAUCGUAGUUUGUAGAUGCGAAAAUCUUCUAUGGAGCAAAAAUUAAAUUCCUACUUUCAAAUUACAGAAGCAAAUAUUCAUACUCAAAAAGUUAUUUUUAAAAAUUUAUUUCAACAUCCAAACAGAGCCUUAAAAAAAAAAAUUAAAAACUUCUGAAAGCCAAAUUGAGAUUUUGUAACUUAAAAUUAGAAACUAUAGUUUUUUUUANUUUUUUUUUUUUUUUUUUUUUUUUGGUGGAGAAAAGUCAACUUCUUUAGCAUAACUUAGAGAUCUCUCUCUGUGUGAUAAAGUAGAAAAUUAUUUAUGGUUAGCACGAAGAUUAAUUAGAAAUGGUCAAGUCAACAUGGGGCACAUGCCAUAGAAAAAAAAUAAAAUAAAAUAAAAAUAAAAAAAAUAUUUAGAAAGAUCCUAUAAGGGUUAAAUUAAUCACUUUUUAAAAGAUUUGUAUCUUAAUUUUAUAAGCUAUAUGGUUUUCAUUAUUCACCAAUUUAGUAUUUGAAACUAGAUUGAAUAGAAUAAAAUAAUGGGAAGAAACAUGUGUUAAAUAUAAAAAUAUUUAAACACUAUUUUUUAGUAGCUUAGGUUUUUAGAAAAUAACAGUUGUUUUGUUUUAUUUAAUAUGGUAACAGAGCAGUAGAUUCUGAGUUCGAGUCACAGCAAGCAUCUAGCAUUAUUAAUUUUUUCCUAUUUAAUUCAUGUCUACGUCAUAGGCCUACUAAAAAGUUUAGAGCUCAUGCGCGAAAAAGAGUGUUAAUUAUAAAAAUAUUUAAAUAUUAAUUUUUACUAAUUUAAGUUUUUAAAAAAUAAUGAUUGUUUCGUAUUAUUUAACAAUAGGUUUAUCUAAGUGCUAAUAAAAAGCAAAAUUAUUACUUGACAAAAUGACAAGGGAGAAAUUAUUACUUGCACCAGUUUUAUUUGUCUACUCCAUCAAUUUUAUCUUUUUAUUAUCGAUUCCACUAAUUUUUUUGUUAAAUCAAUAAUAAAGUUAAAACUAAAGAAUAGUAAAGUGAAUAUUUGAUAAAUCUAAAUGGGGUAUGUGAAGUUUUUUAUAUAUAAUUUAACGAAAUAUUAACGAAAAAACUGACGAAAAGAUAAAAAUGAAAUCACAGGAUACUAACUUGAUACAUUUUAAACCGCAAGAUAUUAAAGUUAGAUAGUGCGAAACCACAUGGGUGGUAUUUGAAGUUUACCCUAUUUUUUAUGAUUCAUGCUAUAUUAUAAUUAUAUUAUAUGAUUUGCACAGUUUAAAAAGCUUAUGUCUAAAUUCAACUAUUUUGUCAUUUUUAUUAUUAUUAUCUAAGCAUUAACUUAUUCUAACUAUAAAAAAAAAACAUUGUUUAAUUUAUAAAAAAUUCUAAUACAUAUAAUAAGUUAUAUUUUGAUUUUGAGUAUCUCCAUCCUAGUAUUUUCCUAGUAUUUUAGUGGCAUGGUGAAUGAGAUGUGUUUCCUACAAAAUGCAAAUGUUUUAAGCUGUCUCAUCAUUUUUUUAAAUUUUUUUUUUUUUUAAAGAUUGGAUCAUUAAUGCAACAUAGAGAUUAAUGAUAUCAUGAUGAUAUUAUAAUAAUAAUAGCAAUUAAUUUGCCUAUAUAUAUAUAUAUAUAUAUAUACUCUAGAGUUGAAUAUUUCAAAGUCAAUAAGAUUAGGAAGCAUAAUAAUGGGUGUAAUUUUAGUGUUACUCUUUCCAACAUAAAGAGACAAAUAAUAUGUUUCUUUUUUUUACUUUAAACUAAAAAAGAAAAAUAAUAAGUUUUUUUUUUUAAAAAAAGUCUAAUGAUUAGAACAAGCUAAAAUUGACUAAGACUUAGUUUAGUAUUGACGUCUAUCUAACGCUAUUAGAUAAAAUGGAGUUGAGGAAAAAACAUAUAGGGAUAUGCUUCUGCGUUCUCCGGUGGGACCGCAGAAAAUAUAUCGUAACCGACUCAUCACGAUAUGCGGAACGCAAUAUUACGUACAGAAACAAAUAGAAUAUUUUCCCAUCGUAUUUUUCCAUCGUCGUUUCAAGUAAUGCAAUUUUCCCGCAAUCCCAAACGAAGCCUAAGUCAAUAAUGCUAUGUCAAUAUCUAGUAAACAUUAUUACAUCUAAUAAUUUGAUUAAGGGUAAAUUGCGCGUUUGGUUCUCAACCUGCGAGGCACGCGACACGUUAAUCCUUAUAUUUUAAUUUAUGGUAAUUUUUGUCUCGAACUUUAAGAAUUAUUAUAAUUAAGUCUUACAAACCAAUUUAGUUAACUAAUUAUCAAUAUAUUAUUGAUGUAAAAGUGAUGUAACAUCUUAAUUAUUGUCGCCAUAUUAUUUCCACAUUAAGAAUCUGUUCGGUUGAAAAGAGAAAAAUCUAUAUUUGCUUGGUUUGGUGGAAAAAAAAAAGAAUGAAAAAAUUUUACGCAGCUUCAGUUAUCGUUUCCACAAAAAACAGCAAAACGAGAACUUCAAAUUUUCGUUUUUCGGCGAAAAAUAGCAAAAAACGAAAACUUCAAUUUUUCCCAAAUUCGUAAAAAUACUUUUAAAGAAAAAUGUUUUAAGUUGAACAAAACAACCGGAAAACUAUUUUUCAUACGAAAAAUAAUUUUUUAAUUUGUUUUACGCAGAACCAAAUGCCCUGUUAAGCAAAAGUUUGGACAAUAUUUAACCCAAAGAAAAAAUAAAUAAUUUAAAUUUUGAAAAUGGUAACGGUGGAUAAUUGGAUGGUCCACAGAGGAAGUGGUGAACCUGGUCCAUGCACCAUUCUCUUUCCUCUUUAACUGUAAUAACUGAAUAGUAGGAGGAAACCUCGGAUCCGCUCAACUAACUCCUCUCUCUCUCUCUCUCUCUCUCUCUCUUUUCACUCCAAAAUCUCUCACAUUUAUCUUAAACACAUCAAACCCAUCAACCAUUUUCGAACAUCUUCGGAAUCCGAUCACGGCAAUGGCGGUCGGGAACGAGUGGAUCAACGGGUACUUGGAGGCGAUUCUGGACAGCGGAGGGGCGGCGGUGGACGAGCAGCGGGGGGCGUCGCCCAAGGUGAGCCUGGGGGGCCGGGGCCACUUCAAUCCGACCAAGUACUUCGUCGAGGAGGUGGUGACGGGCGUCGACGAGAGCGACCUCUACCGCACCUGGGCCAAGGUGUCCGCCACCCGCAACUCCCGCGAGCGCAGCACCCGCCUCGAGAACACCUGCUGGCGCAUCUGGCACCUCGCGCGCAAGAAGAAGCAGGUCUUUCAAAGAUGCUGACUUAUCAACUGCACUUUUAGAUGAAAUUCACCGGCAUUUUACACGCGAGCGCUGUGUGUCUAUACACUUAAAGUAUACAGACGAAGCGCGCACAAAUCUCGAUCGUGACUCGGUUCAACCUGGUCUGCCGCCACUUUGAACAUGAGUCGAUCCAAUCUGGUCUUCCACCAUUUCGGACGUGACUCAGCCGAAUGUAUGUUUUGUUUCACAUGCAAUGUAUGUUUUGUUUUUAUGGACAAAAUGAGCAGUUGGAAUUGGAGGAUGUGCAAAGGCGCGCGUACCGGCGGUGGGAGCUGGAGCAGGGGUGGCGGGAUGCGACGGAGGACAUGUCGGAGGACCUGUCGGAGGGCGAGAAGGGCGACGUGGUUGGGGAGAUGGUGCAGACGCCGCGGAAGAGGUUUCAGAGGAACUUCUCUGAUCUCCAAACUUGGUCUGAUGAUAACAAAGGAAAGAAGCUCUACAUUGUCCUCAUCAGGUAUAUACAUACAUAGCCCUUUGUCACAAUUUAGAACUGAAUAUUUUCUCUUUGUCACAAUUUUACUUACCUCAGAGAUCUGAAUAGCUCCAUCAUCUUACUCUGCAGUAUGCAUGGUCUCGUCCGCGGCGAAAACAUGGAGCUGGGUCGCGACUCCGACACUGGAGGUCAGGUAAAAUUGGCAAAGCUCAAUUAUAAAUUUAGUCCUACGUUAAACCCAGAUUUUGAUUUCGUCGUCGAAGUUCCAAUUGUAAUGAUUUGGUCCCCAAAGUUUUGUUUAAAUUUUACUUUAUUCAUGAAUCAGAUUCAAAAUUUGAACAGGUGAAAUAUGUCGUGGAGCUCUCUCGAGCCCUGUCGAUGAUGCCGGGCGUCUACCGGGUCGAUCUCUUCACGCGCCAAAUCACGUGCCCUGAAGUAGACUGGAGCUACGCAGAACCGACAGAAAUGUUAACACCAAUCUCAAAUGAAUCAAACAACAGCAAUGAGGAAGUCGGCGAGAGCGGAGGAGCUUACAUUGUCAGAAUACCGUUCGGUCCGACGAACGAAUACCUUCGGAAAGAGCAACUGUGGCCUUACAUACAAGAAUUUGUAGAUGGGGCUCUAGCUCAUAUUUUGAACAUGUCAAGGGUUUUAGGUGAACAAAUUGGCGAGGGGAAACCGGUGUGGCCAUAUGUUAUUCAUGGACACUAUGCCGAUGCCGGAGAUGCUGCAGCUCUUCUCUCAGGUGCCCUAUUUUUUUCAAAAUAUAAAUCACCUGUUUAGAUAUAUAUGUUACUGUAAUAUCUAAAUUUUUCACACAUUUUCAUUUACAGAGAUAUACAUAAAGAAAUAUUACUAUUCCGACAGCAUUCUAUGCGCAUGUAGAAUAGGCGGCGCUCAAAUAUGUGAAUUUUGCUGACCCUUCAGUCAGAUGGUCGCAACUGUUUUACAUGCAUGUGAAAUGUUGCGAGCGUAGUUUUACUCAUAUUUAAUGCCCUUACUUCCGCCUUGUAAAGCUUUACUAAAGAAUGAAAUGCAUCUUAUAUAGGUGCAUUGAAUGUGCCCAUGGUGCUAACCGGCCAUUCGCUGGGGAGGAACAAGUUGGAACAGCUACUUAAGCAAGGGAGACAAUCGAUGGAGGAUAUCGACGCUAUGUACAAGAUAAUGCGGAGGAUAGAGGCUGAGGAGCUGUCCUUGGAUGCGGCAGAGCUAGUGAUCACGAGCACGAAGCAGGAGAUCGAAGAACAGUGGGGCAUGUACGAUGGUUUCGACGUGAAGCUCGAGAGGGUGUUGAGGGCCCGAAACCGGAGGGGGGUGGAUUGCCACGGCCGGUAUAUGCCGAGGAUGGCGGUGAGUUUUCACUCACCCUUUUUUUUUCGAAAAUGUUUACACAUUAUGUUCAUGUAUAGUCUCUAUAAAAGUCGAAGACACGAUUUAGCUAGGCAAUAUGAAGCAUAAGGAGAGUUGUUCUGGUCAAACUCGGUUAUUCUACGAUAAAUAUUAAACUCCUAUUCUUGCAACCCCUCAUAACAUUGUUCAUAUAGUCUAACAAUAAACCAAAAACUGCGGUUAAGAAGUGAUCCUCACAUUUUUUUUGUCGCGCCCAAAAGGAGAAUAUCUUGCUUUUAGUAUGACACUCAAUUUCUUCGUAGAAUUAGACCCAAAAGCUAAUCUGAUACUGAAAUAUUAUCUAACAGAAGCUAAAAACUGUAACUCUGUACUACAAUUGUAUCAUUAGAUUUUGCGUACAGUUUGAUGGUUUCCAUGUAUCACUAUCUUAAUGACCAAAAAAAGUGAGGUGCAAAAAGAGCAAAUGGUGCAGUAACACUUUAAGUAAUUCAUGAAAUUUUUGCAGGUUAUUCCUCCAGGUAUGGAUUUUAGCAAUGUCGAGGUCCAAGAAGAUGCGACGGACAUGGACGGAGAAUCGGCUCUCGAAGGUUCUUCUCCGAGGUCGAUUUCCCCUAUAUGCUCCGAUGUAAGAUACUCCUACUCAUCACAUCUCUUUUCCUUCUAUUGUAUAUUUCCUCCCUCCAAUUUUCUUUCAAAAAUAAAGAGGAAGUUUUCAAUAGGUGAUGCGCUUCUUCACGAAUCCUCACAAGCCAAUGAUCUUGGCCUUAUCGAGACCCGACCCGAAGAAGAACAUCACCACCCUCGUGAAAGCCUUUGGCGAAUGCCGCCCUUUAAGAGAGCUAGCGAAUCUCGUGAGUACUUACUUUUUCCCUAUUGCUCAUAAUCCUUAUCACAAGAAGUGGACAGCAUAUUUGUAAAGAACUGUGGAAGAUGUUAGCAGGCAUAACAUAGCUUAUGAGAAUUAUAUCCUAAUUUAAUAUGCAUAACUUUCACCAGACGCUGAUCAUGGGCAACAGAGACGACAUCGAUGAAAUGUCGUCAGGAAAUGCUAACGUCCUCACGACAGUUUUGAAGCUAAUAGACAGGUAUGACCUCUAUGGAUUUGUGGCAUGCCCGAAGCAUCACAAGCAAUCAGAUGUUCCGGAUAUUUACAGGCUCGCAGCAAAAACAAAGGUUUAGUACAUUUCUGAGCUCUUCAAGCAGUAAAUUCUAAGAUAUUUUAGACAUUAGGUUAGCUCACUACGGUAUAUAUCGAACUACUUAUCCUUUCUCUUCUUUUAUGGCAGGGAGUUUUCAUAAAUCCAGCCCUGGUUGAGCCUUUCGGCCUUACAUUAAUUGAGGUCGGUCGGUCUUAUAUUUAACAUAUAGCUUUCGAUUACCCUCCUACGGUUAUAACCAAAUUCACUACAGCAUCACAUAGUUCGGACUAGAACACUUCACAAUCUGUUCUUGUCGCCCAUUGGAAUUCGUAAUAAAAAUGACAUUAAAUUGAGCAUGUGACAAUCACGUCAUUCAAUGAAUCACUUCAUUUCAAUGAGAUUAAGUCAGACGUACCUUAUUUAUAGUGUUAUUGAUGAGAUAUAUGAUUAUUAUGUACUCAACUUUUGCGGCAUUUUUGUGACUAGACAUAAAGUGGAAUCUGGUCACAUCUUUCCCUAUACUGAACUUCUAUGUAAAUUAAAGUUAUGACUACCUAUAAAACACUUACUCGCGGUAAUAAUAUUGUAGGCAGCUGCACAUGGUCUUCCAAUGGUAGCCACAAAGAAUGGAGGGCCAGUCGACAUUCACAGGGUAUCUAAGCUUUUCCUACAUUAGAAUAUCACAUUAAGAUACUUAAUUCCCUGCUUGCUAUUAAUCGAAAUCUCAUUAUGUUUUGCUGUUCUUGGGGUGUUUCAGGCGUUGAACAACGGUCUCCUCAUCGACCCGCAUGACCAAAACGCAAUAGCAGAUGCACUACUAAAACUUCUCGCAGAUAAGAAUUUAUGGUAUGAAUGCAGGAAAAAUGGGUGGAGAAACAUACACUUAUUCUCAUGGCCGGAGCAUUGUAGGACAUAUCUCACGAGAAUUGCUGCUUGUCGCAUGAGACACCCGCAGUGGCAAAUGGACAGUACGAUGGACAACAAUGUGGCGGCCGAUGAUUCGCUCGGAGACUCCCUCAAAGAUGUCCAAGAAUCUUCUCUUAGAUUAUCUGUCGACAUAGAGAAUAAAGAAGCAACCAAAGGCGAGGGAGAGGUACAAGAUCAAGUGAAACAUAUUAUGGACAAGAUCAAGAGAGCACCGGAUAAUAGUCACAAACAAAAUGAGAGUUUGUCGAGUUUAGGUAAUAAGUAUCCAAUUCUUAGGAAAAGACGGAGAUUGUUCGUGAUAGCCGUCGAUUGUUAUACUGAUUCCGGAGGUUUUGAUAAGAAGAUGACACAAGCAAUAGAAGAGACCAUCAAAGCAGUAAAAUCAGAUCCGCAUUUAGCAAAGAUUUCCGGGUUUGUUCUCUCGACUGCGAUGCCGAUGAACGAGACUUUAGAAUCAUUGAAUAUGGGAAAUAUUCACAUGAAAGAUUUCGAUGCUUUAAUUUGCAGUAGUGGGAGUGAAAUGUAUUAUCCGGGGAGUUAUUCGGGUUCCGAAGAGGAUAGCAAAUUCUCUUUGGAUUUUGACUAUGCGAAGCAUAUUGAGUAUAGAUGGGGUCAUGAGGGCGUGAAGAGGACUAUAGUAAAACUGAUGAAUUCGCAGGAUGGUCAAGGUGAAAACAAAUCCGAGAGCUCUGUUGCAGUGGUAGACGAAGACGAGGGAUCGAGCAAUGGGCACUGUGUUUCAUUCUUGGUCAAAGAUAAAACUAAGGUGCGUAAUAUGCUUUUUCAUGAUUCAGCAAAAAAAAAGGGGGCCUUUUCUCAUUUUUCGUAAAAAAACUACUCAUUUUCAACUUUAGCGCCUUUUUGAACAUCUAGGACAAAACUGCUCCUCCACUACAUGAUCAACAUGCAUUGUUUGGAAUGAUUGAUGCAAAAUACUCAAUGAUGAUACUAAAAGUUAAGAAAUUGGUUGAAGUUGCAAACUAGUUUCACAUUUCUCAAAAAUAACAAAAGAAAUAGUGGAUUCAUGAAAAGGCCUUUCGUGGUAAUUCGGUUCGGUAUCUAAUUUACGAGGACAUUCUAUUUGCAGGCAAUGCCUGUGGAUAAGCUAAGGGAGAAGCUGAGAAUCCGUGGUCUUCGCUGCCAUUUGAUGUAUUGCAGAAACUCAACACGGCUUCAAGUUAUUCCUCUUCUAGCAUCUCGAUCUCAGGCUCUACGGUAUGGAACCUCCUUAGCUUAAUUGUAGAAAAUAAAAAAAAAGGUUUAACAAAACAACGAUUUUUACGUUGCAUCGUUUGAUCGCAAACGACCUCCAUGCGAUACAUACAAUGGAAAUUCGUAACAUUGCUUUUUUGAUACAUAGAAAAGGCAAUGUGACUACUUAGAUCUACUUUCUUUUGCUUACUUGGGUAUUAUUUUUAAUGUCCUAUAUCAUAUCGAAAGUUUUCGCUUCUAUCUUUUCUCUUAUGAAUAGCAUUAGCGUCAAUUUUAUGGAUUUCGGUCCUAAGUACGUUAUAUAAUCAGGAAAUAUGAUAAUUAGGCAAUUCAUAACAUCAACUUACAAUUUAAUUUUACCUGAAUCUAAAGGUACCUGUUCGUCCGAUGGGGUGUAAACGUGGCGAACAUGUACAUUAUCGCCGGGGAAAAAGGGGACACGGACCUCGAAGAACUCCUGUCGGGAUCCCAGAAGAAGGUGAUAUUAAAAGGCGCUGUCGAAAGAGGUUCAGAAGAGCUGCUCAGAACGUCCGGAAGCUACAAGAAGAAAGACAUCGUUCCGGCAGACAGCCCCUUCAUUUUCUACACAAACAACGGAUUCAAGUCAGCAGAUAUUGCGAAAGCAAUUCAAGAAGCAAGCAAAGCUGGUUAUGGGAAGUGAUCUAGUGAUGAUCUACUGAUAAAUAUAACUUCAAACUAUACAUGUUUUUUUUUUUUUUGUCUCUUUGUUUGUUGCACGUAAAUGUUACUUUAUGUUUUGCAACUGAGAGAUGGUUUUUGUUCUGAUAAGUGAGUUUUCAGAUGGAUACUGCAAUCAAAACAAUCAAUUCCAACAAUUUUUUGUGAUAUGUGAUUGUUGUGAUAUGAAUUUUACAUCAUUUAAUUGUUAAGAUCAUCGUAAAAGCGUGCGGAUAUAAAUUUGAUAGUACACAUAACAACAAGAGGAAACAAAAUAAUGGGAAUAAAUUUGCGCUCAUGUUGUAUUAUGAUUCUCCUAUUUUGUGAUUCUUUGUUAAUACCUUUCACUUCUUUAUGAAGAGCACAUAUUACAAAUGAUCAUGUAACCGAAUAACCACGAGAAUUUAUAACCAAUUACGGGAUUUGUCGAGAAAUUAGUGUGAGAAAACUAAACUAAAUCCUAUCAAAAAGAGCAACAAUAUUAAAUGAACUGAAAUUGCGAGUACAUGGAAAUGUGCUCAUACCUGAAGAAAAGGCGAACAAACCAGAAGAGCAGCCACAAAAGUGCAAGCCAAAUCAAGCUACAACCCGCAUUUCUCAGUUACGAUUGCUACCGAAAAGAUCGAUUUGAUAGAAGCAGUUAAGUUAGGAAUAGUCUUAACACCUCUGCUCACAUGCAUGAUAGAUAUAAGGUGAAUUAUCCUGCGUGCAAUAAAAAAGAUUAAAAAUUAGGAUUCAUAUAACUAAAUGGUCUUAAAACAACAAACACUAAUAGAAAAUGAUAUAGAAAUAAUCUUAACACUCUACUCACGUGCAUGAUGAAUAUCAGAUGAAUCAUACCACAUACAUUGACAGAAAAUAUAACGAAAGUGUUAACUAGGACUAGUAGGACAAAGAACGGAUACCGAUAGAAAACUACUUAGAAAUAGUCUGAAUAGUGACCGACGUGUGUAUAUAUAUAGAGAGAGAGUACUAGUACAAGGAGUAUUCAUUGAGACAUUCCAUCAAACACUAGAUAGGCACUCUCCAAUUCCACAGGAGUAAUUUCUUGGGAUUAGGGGAAGUUGCUGCUGUAGUCGCUGUAAUUUCACAGGAAUAUUUUUUUUUAUAAUAAAUUAAAAUGAUAAAUUUUUUACAAUGUUAAGGAUGGAAUAAUAGAACACUCGCACGGGAAUUACAGGGACAGGAGUUGCAAUAUAGGAAGUACAGGGGCUAUCUCGACAUUUUACCCUCAGAAACGUUGGGGACUAAAGUGAAAAUUCUGGUAAAUCUCAGGUACAACUGUGCGAUUUUCGUGCACGCAUGAAGCGCCGUAAAAAUAUGCGGACGUCCCCACAGUAACCUACCCCUGCGGCACACUCUACUCACUUUAACCUACACCAACACCUCUCUCUCUCUCUCUCUCUCUCUCUCUCAUCCUUCGCUACACUCCUCACAGAUCCCGGUCGAGCUCUCGCUCCCCCGAUCCCCUCUUCUAGGGUUUCCUCCUCCUCUCUCUCCCCACCACCAUCUCAAAACCCUAGCUCUAAUCCCAUCUAAUGCGAAGGUACGCUCCGUCGCCUCCUCUCCCGAUCGAACCUCGCUGCGAAUUUGACUGAUAUUUUGUACUAAUUUUCUCCGAUUUGUAUUGCUCGUUGCAGAAUCGGAGAUGGUUGGGGCCGGAGAGGCGGCGGCGGCGGCGGCGGCGGCGUUGGUGGCGGAGCGAGGCAUCAGGCGAAGCAGCUCGGAAGUGGCGGAGGACGAUGGCGGGGAGGCUCGGGAUCGCCGUCGUCGUCCUCGUCGUAUGCACCCUAUCGCUCUUCUCCUCGAUCGGCGUCCCUCGCCCGUAUAGCACAGUGAGGGUUCGUAGUGUUUCCUUUUGAUUCCUCUGGGGUUUCGUGUUCUUUUGUUGGAUGUUUAGGGUUUUGAUUCGAGUGGCCUAAAAUGCGCCUAAUGGCUGUUGAUAAAUGCAACAUUUUUGUACCAGUUUAAUGUAGCAUUGUUAGAAUUUAGUUUAGAUUUAACUUAUUUAAUGCAUAUGAAACACUUUUUAUAUGGAUUGUUACUUUCUGGUUCUAGUUGUAAUAUUGUAUUUGUUAAUGAUUCUGAAUUUUUAGUUCUUCGAUGUUUAACUUGUGAAGCUACUAAAUAGAUGUAUAUGUUUUUACUGGGCACGGGUUUAUGGAUUGUGGACUAUGUGUAUAUAACUGGAAUCAUUUGAGCUGUUAUACUUGGUACAAUGUUGUCCUUGUUUAUGCCUUUUUAUUUUUCUUAUUUUUCUGCCUUUUAUGUUAUGCCGGAAUCCUUCAGAAGGUUGAUGUGAAUGAUCUGUGGAGAACUGCUGAUUCUGGUGGUUGGAGAGCAUCAUCGGCACCACGGUCCUACUGGCCUCGUAUGUAAUUUUCCUUAACCUUGUCGUAUAGUGCUUAUAUGUAUUCUCACAUUCAAUUAUGAUGGCUAAUUAUCCUUUAUGAUUUGACUGUUGUAGCUCCUCCAACUGAGAGCAAUGGUUAUUUACGUGUGCGGUGCAAUGGCGGCUUGAAUCAACAACGGAGUGCGGUACGAAGAGUAUUCCCAUUUAUAACAGUCUAUAAGGCUUUAUCUCAUCCAUUUAAGUUCAUAUGGACGUGUCUGAGUAUUUGUUGUUGCUGAUGUUAUAGAAUUGAACUUCAAUUUAGGCAAAUACACCUUUGUCUAUUCUUCCAUGCUUGGCUAUAAUUUUGGUUAGUUAAUGUGCUUUAUAGCCAGCACAUAUCUAACUUGGCAAACAUCUCUUUCGUUAUGAUUUUGCCUCAUGAAAUAUUGAUCCCUGUUUGUGGGUUUCAUAGAUAUGUAAUGCUGUUGUUGCUGCGCGAAUCAUGAAUGCUACGUUGGUGCUGCCUGAUUUGGACACAAAUUCUUUUUGGCGGGAUGAGAGGUAUCUCCUUUUCUUCAUCUCAAUUCAUCCUGUAUCCGUGUUGCUUGUACUUCUUUGUUUCUUAUUUUAGAUGAGUAGAUCAAACAUUUACGAUGAUCUUUGUAUUGUGAGCAAGUAGCAAGUAAAACUUCAUGGUAAAUCAAGCCUAAUUUCCUUUUGGGUUGCACAUCUUUUUUGCUUUCAGCAUUAUUUGUAGUGCACUUUAAAAAUUUGCUAAAGAUAGAAAUGACUUUCGAAUUUAUUAGAUAUAAAGUUAAUGCGGAAAAGACUGAUUAAACCUGGUGGACUGCAAGAAAUCAGUGUUUUUUGGUUGACACAAUUGCCGUUAAUUAAGAAAAUUAGACUAAAAAAACUAUGCUAUAUGAAUUUAAAAUAAUUUAGUUGAAUCUUUUUCUACUUGCUUAUAAAAUACCUGCUUUUCCAUGUUUAAUUAAUUUACGGUUUAUUUUUAUGCCCAGCGGUUUUCCAGGUAUCUACGAUGUAGAGCACUUCAUCAAGUCACUGAGAUAUGAUGUGCGCAUUGUUAGAAGCCUUCCAGAAAUCUCUUCAAAUGGAAAGACCAAGAAGAUGAAAUCUUAUCAGGUAAAGCACUAAAUCUUAGUGACGUAUCUUCCACAUGGUACCAGGAUCACAUGUCUAACCGCAUAUUUUUGUGGGGUAAAAUAUAUGGAUAGUGUCUGUGUCUGUACUCUGUACUAUCCCGAUAUUGCAGCUGAAUUUACGUUCUUAAGCAAAAAGUUCAGGAACUAAGUUGCAGCAUUCACUAUAUCGGGAUAGUUAGGGGACUUCACCUGUUUUGUAUUGAGUUGCAUUUGUGUCAUAAGCUUUUUGUUUUACUCGUCUUUCAGAUUCGUCCACCAAGAGAUGCUCCUUUAAGCUGGUACACAACAUUUGCAUUGGAAAUGAUGAAGCAGCAUGGUGCGAUUUAUCUCACUCCUUUUUCACACCGUUUAGCAGAGGAGAUUGACAACCCUGAGCUUCAGAGGUUGAGAUGCCGUGUUAACUAUCAUGCACUUAGGUUUAAACCUCACAUCAUGCAAAUAAGCAGUGAGAUAGUGAAUAAACUCCGUGCACAAGGCCACUUCAUGUCAAUACACCUUCGAUUUGAGAUGGAUAUGCUUGCAUUUGCUGGGUAUGUGAUUUUACCGAUGCUGUUAACUAUAUGCAAUCAUUUCCUCGCAUAUCUACCCGUGUGGACAGAGAAUAUGUAAAGAAUAGAUAGUGUCUGAUUUGAUCAUUUGCAUGAUUACAAUCGUUGGCAUGAAUUUAAUUAUUAGAAUGGUUGCGGAACAUUGAUUUUUUUCCUUUCUAUUCUUCCAUGAUAAAGUUCAAAAAUUGUUUUCUUUCUCAAUGUAAGUUCGUCUGUAUUUAUUGCUUGCAUUGUUGUUUGGCAAUACUUUGGUCAUUUUUUAGAUGGUCUUUCGAAGUUGGAAGUAAGUUUUUCUUUUCCAUGCGGUGAAUAGUUCAGUGUUGGUUUAUGUACCUAAACUUUUCAUUAACAUGACUCAAAUCUACUUGGUUCUUGUAUUGCACUGGUAAAAAAGUUUAUUGAUGCCAACUGAUAUGUGAGCAAUUUGAUUUGCUCUCUAAUGAAACUAAGCUUGAUGCUGUGAUAAGACAAAUUCAUGUGGUUGCGAAAUGUAUUUAAUAUUAAAUGUGAAAAUUUUCAGGUGUAUUGAUAUAUUCACACCGGAAGAACAGAAAAUCUUGAUCAAAUACAGAAAAGAGAACUUUGCAGAGAAGGAACUUGUUUACAGAGAAAGGAGGCUCAUCGGGAAGUGCCCAUUAACUCCAGAAGAGGUAAAGCUUUAUCAAUAUUUUAUCCUCAUGUUUAUUCUCAUCACUGUCAAUGUUUACGACUUAUUGCUUUUCAUCGUUAUCAUGCAUUGGUUGUGCUCAGCUGUUCACUUUGCAUUUUCAUAUCUUCCUUAUAGUUUAGCUUCGUCUUAGAUCUGUAGUAGCCUGUAAUCAAUUCGGUAUCAAAGCCAUGCAUAUACAUAGUGAGAGACAAGUGAUUUUUAUAGAAAUCGAGCUAGAAAAAAAUUGGAGCAGCCCCCUUUCAUGAGUACAACACCACAUUAUUGAAAAGUUAUGUUCUUUGAGAGGUUUUUUCAGUAGCAUCAAGUGAACGAAAAAAAUACACAGCUGAAAGAAACUGGGGUACACGACAAAGUCGACAAAGUAGUCUUAGAAUAUUAUAGAUGUCGCCUGCUGCAAAUAGAAAAACCAUUAUGCGAGGUCAAAUGAGUACUACCUAUUUAUGAUAGCUUAAUCUGAUCUUACAACUUAAAUCGCGACUGGUGCUGCCGAUCUAAGCCUACCGUAUGUUUUUUGUGGAAAGCAGACAAUGUUGUUGUUGAUCUAACCUGUUUAUGAAAUCAACUACAAUAUCUGCGAUGCAGAACGAUAUGAAAUAUUGGGAGCUCUGUUGCUGUACUUUAUUUAUGUUGCGGAACAUUCUAGUUCCAAUGUUUGCAAUUUGUCUGUAGUCAUUGACUCAUUGUAUAUCAUAAAUAUUUAUUAUGCCUCUGACCUCUUAUAAAAAACUGUCAAUCAAUCACUGAUGCGAAGAAAUAACCUGAAAAAUCUUUGGUGCAAAAUGAAAAGGUUGGUCUCAUUCUGCGCUCCAUGGGGUUCGACAACUCUACUCGAAUCUACCUCGCUUCCGGCGAGCUUUUCGGGGGGGAGCGUUUCAUGAAGCCAUUCCGAGAAAUGUUUCCUCACCUCGAGAACCACAGCUCGGUGGGACCCGAAAAGCUCGAAGAGAAUGCUCGAGGGUUGGCGGGCUCCGCGGUCGACUACAUGGUCUGUCUCCUCUCCGACAUCUUCGUGCCCACAUACGACGGCCCGAGCAACUUCGCCAACAACCUAAUGGGCCACCGCCUCUACUACGGGUUUCGAACCAUUAUACAACCCGAUAGAAAGGCCUUGGCCCCUAUUUUCGUCGACCGGGAGGAGGGCCGGGGGUCCGGGUUUGAGGAGCGGGUUAGGCAAGUCAUGUAUAGAACGAAUUUCGGCGGGCCGCACAAGAGAGUGCGGCCCGAGUCGUUCUACACGAACUCGUGGCCCGAGUGCUUCUGCCAGCCGGAGUCCAAGAACCCAAAGGACAAGUGCCCGCCGGAGAACGUUGUAGAAGUUUUGGGCAGCCAGUUGCAGAGCGAGGAGAGCGAGGGUUCGGAGGAAGGGAAGGAUGCGAAUCAGGCAGCCGCGACCGGUCGAGCAGAAGAAGAGGGUUCAACUUGAAGGGCGACUGUUAUUUUUAAUCUACAGCUCGGAGAAAUGAUUGUUUGAGUGGCUCGGCGCGGAACGUGUUCUACUCUGAAUCGAUAGAGGUUUCCGAGCUACAAAUUCGGAACGUUGAAGACAAGCUACGGAGAUUGAGAUCGAAACAUUCUGUGCGGCGGUCAGAGUAAAUUUUUUCCCCCCCCUUUUCUUUGUAGUGAUAUUUUUUUUUGUAAGAAGUGAUUCGAACCUCAUUAAUCAAUCGCCAUCUUAGUUUGUAAAAAUUUGAAAACACGAUGAUUUCUUAAGAUAAUAGACAAUGAUAAUAAGUUGGGUUUUAAACUAGAAGGUAGUGAUGCUCUCUUUCUUUCAUUCUGUUUUCUCUCUAUUUCAUUUGUGUUGAAGAACUUGGAAUGCAUAAGAGUCCAAUUUUGUAUUUUGAAGUUUAGAUUGAACUGUACCAUGUAUCUUUCUUUUCAUAAUCAUGUGGGCACAUAAAUAAAUGUGCAUAACACAUCACUGCAAACCUCGAUUUUUCGCCGCCACUUCGCAUUUGUUGUCUUUCGAGGGCUUCUUACGGCUUUACCACCUGGGCUCAGGUUGGAAUUGUGAGCGCAAUAUGUUAAGAUCAGAUGCGAGUUUGCUCCGUACUCGGGCGAAAAUGCACACCAUCGAACUUCGCAACCACAACUACUUCCAAAUAUCGGCGAUCUUCAGUUACGCAAACUUGCCGCUUCAUCACCGCAGUUCCCUCGGAACAAACACAACAGUAUUGCAUGCACUGCAGUACACACUGCAGGGUCUUCAAAACUCAAAGCUAGUGUUUGUUGGAUCGUUGGCGCUAACCAUUAAUUUCAAAAGCUCGAACUGUUAGAAUGCGCAAUCAAUUCACUUAAAGCGUACUGAUACAGCGUCCACGAGUCUCGAUUGUGAUUCGGCUCAACCAGCCUCACGCCACUUCAAACAUGACUCGGCCAACCCAAUCUCACGCCAUUUUGAAUAUGACUUAGUCUAACAUAAUCUUCCGCCACAUGGCAGAAUGCUGCCCUAUUUAAGCCAACAGUAUUUUCUCUCAGAGAGAGAGAGAGAGAGAGAGAGAGAGAGAGAGAGAGAGCUCCUCAAGGCGUUUAUCGAUCGAUCCUAAACUAGUUUUCACAAUAAUCUCGCCGAACUUCAGCGACAUAUUAUCUGUUUGCCGACCUGAAGAAAAGUGUAAAAACAUGUACAACAUUUCUUUUUCCUAAACCAUAAAUCAAGACCAGGAAUAACAGGGGCCGAAAAGAAAUUGACACUUGAAGAUGUACACAAAGAAAGAUGCAGGAAAAUCCGAACUUCCAAAGUAGGCCGAAACACCAAAUAUGUUUCAGAAAAAAUUGCAUAUAAGCAUAUAACAUAAUCCAACAUUACUAUAAGGAAAAAUAAAAAUAAAAUCACCUUUAGUACAAAUUCUAUGCUUUUAUAGUUUACAUAGGAAUCACUGUUUACGAUUGCUAUUAUCACUACACAAGAAUUUUCCAGAUUCUGCUAAGACAUACCGUUCCUCAAAAACUUAACCAACAAUUUUUCCAUCGUUUAAUUGACCUCGCCGCGCGCCUUAAACUCCUCACCCCUGCGAAAAAAAAGAGAAAAAAAUAACUUUUGUGACAUAAACUAAGACACCGUCGAAGAAAAGAAAACGUUUGCGAAGAUGAGUCGAUCUAUUCGUACAUGCUGUAUUGAGAUAAUACACCAAAAGAUCUAAAAAAGAUCGAGGGAAGCUCAGGCGGGUAACUGGAGCUUGACAUUAUUCUUCCAGCUGCAGAUCAAAUCAAAGUUCAGAGUCAUUCUGUGAAAUUACAAUUCCUAAUUGCGACAAAUAUAUAUAGAGAUAUAUAGAUUCAUAUAAGCCCGCUAAACAAUUUAGUUUUAGACACACGCCCUUGUACUCAAACUUCAAGAAAUUGCACUUUCAGGGAGCAUAUAUGAAAAUUUGGAUUUUACUGGAGUAUAUAUAUGUAGAUAGUUUUGCUAGGAUAUGCAUGCAAAAAAGCUCUGUUGAUUCAAGGGCUACAAUAGCUUACCUAAGAAAGUAAUAGUAGAAGAAAUCGGCGUAGAGUAGCGUCUGCACGAGUCCGGAUAUCCAGGCUGCGACACAGUAAACAUACCAGCAUUAAGGAUAUGAAAUAUUAUAUCAAACGUAAAGAUGUGAAAGAGAUGGGAGGGUAAUUAGUAGAUUUUCAUACUUAUCCAAUGAACAUAGUGGGGUUCGGUGAAGUAGCGAUAAAUCCAAUUGAGGAUGUAUAAUGCUCUGUAUGCACUGCAGCAGGAAACGAUGGAAAAAAAUUCAAAUGAAUGGAAACGAUACCGCUUUAAAUUAUAGUGGCAUUUAUUGACAACUAUUGUGACUCAGGGAGGUAAUCGUUCUAGGAAUAUUUCAGAAGAAAAUGGUACUGCAUUAGUUUAUGCAAAGGUGCAGAAUUUAAAGGGACGAUUCCUAAACUUCAUGUAGAUUAGGUUGUAAAAUAUUUACUAAACAUGCGAAUCAAAUAAACACUGCAGAAGUUAUCUAGAAUUAGAUGAGAGAUGCGCAUAGCAAGAAAAGUGCUGUAUUAACACAGAAGUAGAGCACUUAGUAGCACGGUCGUGGAAGCUUCAAGUUUAUCUGAUAGCUUUUGCUACUAAAUUAACACGGUCGAGUGGAAACUCAAAUGAUAAAUUUCCAGCUAAACAGUUAGACAUAGCACGAAAAGCAUACACAGGCAAAAUAGAAGGUGGAUUUUGAGAUGAAGUUUACCCUAGAAGAAAAACAUAUUGCCCGGUCAAAUUGUCAAUAUUCCUCGUGCGUUGCAAUAAAACUAGUUGAGGGAGAAUCGCAACAGCCUCCAAAAAUAAAGAGAAUGUCCACAUCACCUGUAACAACAGUGACAGUAAACUGAAUUUAGAUAGGAAUAAUAAGUAUAUUAAGAAAAGGGGGAAAAAAAUAGAGUUGGAUGGUUAUUAAAAUUAUCUCCGCCAAAAUUGUUUUUCAUAUAAAAGGAUAGUUUAAUUCAUAUAUACACCAGCGCCAUGCGAAAUUGGUAUUUGCAUGCGUACCCCUGAAACUCUUGCUUGUGUGUGCCAUGCCAGCAUAUCUAUGAAAAUUUGGCUUUUGCAUUAUACCCUUUUUAGUAGGGGCAUGAAUGCAAAUAAGUACCGUAUUCAGCGUACGGACACAAAUACCAACUUUACAUGGCAUUCAGGCAAUUUCAUGUAUUUGCACAGGUACAUAUAUGUGAAUAUCCCAAGAAAACAAUGUUACAAAGAGAAGGAAAAUACGUGCUGUACUGAAGGCUUGUACAUGUAUGCCUAAGAGCAGAAACAUUUUGAAACAAUAAACACACCUCCAUAAAAGUAAACUUUUCAUUUAUGAGUAGGGCCAAGAGCAAACAUGGCAGUAUGAGAAAGUGGUGGCGGAAGGUGUCUUGAUCCUUGUCGUAAGUCCUGCGUACAAUCUUGUGGUGUCUCAUGUACCAUAAGAUCGAGAACGAGCUUCCCAAGAAGAUCAACUUCAUGACCGUAUUAUAGAGCGAAACAAAAUGAAUGAAAAUAUCCAAAUAUCGAGUUGCGAACACGAGAGCAUAUAACUCCUGAGUCUUCAAUGAAAUGCCUGCAGGAAACAGUUGGAUGAAUCAAGUAAAAAGAUCACACCAUAUGAAAUUAGUUUGGAAAACAAAAAUAGUUUUAGCAGUCUAAGGCAAUAGAUCGACACAGAUAAAAUAUGCAAAAGAUCCAAACUAUGAAAACCUAGAAAAUAAGCAGUAUAAUAUAACUUAAUCUGAGAAUUACGUGAUUUGAAGGCACAUGAAGUUCAUAAUAGUGCUUUUCAAUGAAACACACUGCCAUUUUGCAAUAAAUACUGAUACAAUUAAUCGAACUAGUUCGCAAACAAGAAGACGCACAAUAGAAAUGCUGCUACGUUUUGUCUAAAACAACAACAAUCAGGUCUUAAUCUGAGACCAGGAGAGUGCAAAACCAAUGAAAAGAAACUGAAACAUUAGGAAAGAUUACUACGUGAUAAAUAGUUGAUCUAAUUGAAUUUAGAACUACGAUUAAACAAAUUCAUCUACGGCCUACAUAUCAUCGAGGUAAUCUCUCUGUUCCCUUAGCGACUCCAAAUUCCUUUUUUUUCCUUUUCGUGCAAGCGUAACCCCCACACAUUAUUUUAUUUUGCAUGCUUAAAUUUUGGUUGUAAAGAGAUCAUGUGGAUAAAGGAAGCAUUUCAAACACUCAUUCAAUCAACCAUAUCCAACACCCAAAUAAUGCGUCAAAAAACAUAUCAUAAUAUUACAAUUCUCAUACCUAAUCACUCAAAUUAUGUUAAUAAUAAUGUGUCAAAACAACAUAGUUUUUUAACCCAUAAUAUUAUAAUUCUCAUACCUAAUCACUCAAAUCAUAACAUAGUUCUUUUUUCUUUUCUUUUUUUUACCAACAAAGAAACUGUUUUAAGAACUCAAAUCCAAUAAGGGAGAAAAAAUAAUCUGAACAAAUCGCCAUAAUUCAUUAUCAUUUCCAGCACACCAUUUCCUAUUUUUCCUCAUCAGAAUCAAACCCCUAAAGUACUUGUUCAAAAAUAAAAAAGAAG
rnacentral:lncRNA from 1 species